GGCCGCCUCAGCCCCUCGAGCUGGCUCCAGGGCCACUGUGGAAGUGGGAGGGAGGGGGCCUUCCCAGAGUGGGCCGGGGGGACCUGACCCGCCUGGCCUCGCGCCCUACCCCCACCCCUGGCAAGCUCUCCCGCACCCGCGAAGAGCGGUGAUUUUCCUUCAGAUAGGGUUUCUGGAACCCGCUUCCCGGAGUUGUGCUUGCCCUUGAUGCCUUUACUGAUCAUGGGGUUUGCGCUAGGCGUGCAGAGGGCGAUGGUUUCAGUUUCUCCCCAAAAAAGAUAGCUGUAGUCGUUCCUCCAUGCGUUCUUUCCAUUUUCCUUCCUUCCUUCCUUCUUCCUCCCUUCCUUCCUCCCAUCCUUCCUUCCUUCCGUCUCCCUCUCUUUCUGCCCCAUUCUCCCUUCUUUGCCUAAAUACCUCUGAAACUUGAAGAAAUGGAACCCCUGAUGCUGGCAGGUGCGGCCCCCUCCUCUGGAUAGGGUCUUAGGUAAUUAUCUUAGCUUCCCCACCCAAUUUUCCACCUGUCUUUGUGCCUGAUGGCGAUUAUUUCGGAAAUGCUUGCUCUAAACAAAACUAUCGCUUGCGAAAAGUCUGAGUUUGCAAACGUCGGGGAAUCCUGCAAAGCUUGUGGCAAAGGUGGAACUCGAUUCAGAAGGAAGGAAGAGGUAUAGAAUGAUCUGAGGGCAGGGAGCCUGGCUCUUGUCAGUAGCAGACGCGCUCAGUCCCGCCAAGGAAGGCAAUCCCCAACGGGGCAGAGUGUGUCUCAUCCCUGCCUGGCGCAACCCCUGCCCCCCAACCCGUGAGAGAGCAGCGUUGCAGGGGGUGUGAAAACAGGUCACCGGGCAACCUCAUUCCUCGACAGUUUGGAGACAAAGCGGGAGGUGGCGGUCUGAGAAAUGGGAGCCCACCUCCCGGGCUCUGGCUGGGUGGGCGCGGGAGGAAGCCCUGUGUUCCGGGAGAGGGUGCUAGCAUGCGUGGGCGUGGAGGGGGAGGAGGUUUGCAGUCAUUCCAGCCGGGUCAGAUCCAGACCGAGAGGACAGGUCAGCUGGUGGCAUGGUCUUAGGAACCCACAGAAAGAGGAUCCUUGCUCCCCACCUUUCUUAUCAACCCCCUUCCCCAACCGACUCAAUUCUCGCCACCUCCCUUUUCUCCAUACAACCGCUUUCCUGUUUCAAAGUUAGAUAAUUGCCUUUCCCACCUACACGUCCCAGGAGCAAACAAAACAAAGUUGUAAAAGACAAGACACGCUACUCUUAAUCCCAUUGCUCGGCGGUCCGCUGCUCAGGCUGCGGCUGCCAGGUUGGCGUGCGCCGCCUCUGCAGUAAAUAAGAUGAGGAAAGCGAGGCACCGCGGGGCCAAGUCACUUGCUCAGGGGCACGCAGCAGGGGUUCUGCCUGAGAAGCCGUAAGCUCACGUCCCUAAAGCUCCGCAGCAGGGGCUUUGGAUCCUUGUGAAUUUCAGCUCCUCCAAGGCUUGAGGAAAGAAUUCAAGAAAGGUCCAGUGGAGCCUCGUGGAAGCGCAGAGCAGUGCUCCAGCAGGAGGACCCUCAGAGCCCUCGGCAACAAGGAUGAGACUGGAACAAUAGAGACAGGAGGGAGUUCUAGGGGCCGAUUUAAGUCAACUGGAAGCUGGAUGUUGGUGGGCGUUUUCGCUUUUUUUUUUUUUUAAUGCUAGAGCACAGUGGCUAAAAAAGGUGGGCUCUGGGGCCAGCCUGCCUGGGUUCCAAUGCACUUGCUGGCUGUGUGCCCUUGUGCAAGUUACUUAACCUCUCUGUGUUUCAGCUUCCAUAACUAUAAGAAAAGGAAUAUUAGCACGUUUUCCCAACAGAGCCCAUGGGGGGUUCAAUGAGAUAUGGAAGCACCCCCACACUGUCAGGCACAGGCAAAUGCUCAAUAAAUGUUCAUUAUUA
rnacentral:lncRNA from 1 species